UAUCUUCAUCCGUCUAGAUGGUAUUUUUGCGUGAACAUGUGUUGCUUUAGUGGUUUGUUUUUGUCUCCCUUCUUCAGUAGAGGUGUUGGCUUGGUGUCUUUGCCAAGCAUUUGAGUGAUCAGUGACAAGAGCCUUUGGAGGUCAAAUAAACCCGACUGUGAACAUGCCAUUUUUCUAUUUGUAGAAUUCAACUAGCUCAGGCUGAGCCGCAUGACAUCUAUUUGUGUGGCAAAAAAGUUUUUGUUGAGGUUGGCACACUUGAGCUCCCCCUUUUCAAAUACAACAAUGGCAGCAAGUGUAGAUUCAUCAUGCCUAAGAUUCUUUCUCAAUUGUACUAUCGUCAUCAUUUUCACCCCUCUUGGUUGAUGGAUGUUUGUCUGAAUGAUCGUUGGGUUAGACUCCGUUACUACUAUGCAUUUUGCUAGGGGCAUGUAAAUGACUUUGUGUUCUA